AGCGAACGCUGGCGGCAGGCUUAACACAUGCAAGUCGAGCGGGCACUUUCGGGUGUCAGCGGCGGACGGGUGAGUAACGCGUGGGAACGUGCCCUCUGGUUCGGAAUAACUCAGGGAAACUUGAGCUGAUACCGGAUACGCCCUUUUGGGGAAAGGCUUGCUGCCGGAGGAUCGGCCCGCGUCUGAUUAGCUAGUUGGUGAGGUAACGGCUCACCAAGGCGACGAUCAGUAGCUGGUCUGAGAGGAUGAUCAGCCACACUGGGACUGAGACACGGCCCAGACUCCUACGGGAAGCAGCAGUGGGGAAUAUUGGACAAGGGGCGCAAGCCUGAUCCAGCCAUGCCGCGUGAGUGAUGAAGGCCUUAGGGUUGUAAAGCUCUUUUAUCCGGGACGAUAAUGACGGUACCGGAGGAAUAAGCCCCGGCUAACUUCGUG
rnacentral:rRNA from 1 species